ACGAAGGGUGCAAGCGUUACUCGGAAUUACUGGGCGUAAAGCGUGCGUAGGUGGUGGUUUAAGUCUGCUGUGAAAGCCCUGGGCUCAACCUGGGAAUUGCAGUGGAUACUGGGUCACUAGAGUGUGGUAGAGGGAUGCGGAAUUUCUGGUGUAGCAGUGAAAUGCGUAGAGAUCAGAAGGAACAUCCGUGGCGAAGGCGGCAUCCUGGGCCAACACUGACACUGAGGCACGAAAGCGUGGGGAGCAAACAGGA
rnacentral:rRNA from 1 species